CAAUUAGUGUCUGAAACUGGGGGUAGGGCAGGCUUGUAGGACUGAGCCCUCAACCCGUGGGAAGCGAUGCUGUCUCCAGGCAGACUAGGACCUGGCUGGCGUUAAAGAAUCAUUGAUGUGAGAACCACCUCUCGUCCGCCUUCCCCACACACGGGUAUUGAGAAUGUUAACAGGUAUCGCUUGUGCCCGGGAACUGCAGUGAGAAAUCCCCAGCAGUGAGUACGGCAGGGGGUGGGGAGGUGGGCAGGGACUUCCAGCAAUGCACAGGCGUCCUGCGAGGACAAGACUGGGUUUAAACCCCCGUCAGACCCAGAGAGAGAGACUGUCUUGACCUGACCUCUCCUACUUUCCCCACGUCCAGCAUCAUCGGUCUCUGGCUCUUGAAUGAAGUGUGGAGUUUUUAACGACUGUCACGUAAAAUGGAUGAGAGAAUCAAUCAGCUGAGAUGGACCCAAACACAAGAAGACAACACAUUCCUAACCAAUUUGGAAAAUUCCUCCAGCAGGAGGGAGGGAAGCCCUGUCUUUCUUCAACAUUCCAGCACCUUUUCCACCAGCUCCUAACUCAGCUAACUUGGGUGAUUCAUGUCACGUCAUAUUAGAGUAAGCUGUGACUGAGGCUAUGCAAACAGAAAUACUGCCGACAGUCAUAAUUUUCUGUUUGAAAAGUGGCUGGAAUUUAGGCCAAACAUGAAACCCAAUAUCCCAAAGAACAGAACCAAGAUGUGGAGCAACACCGGUGUCCCUGAACCUCAUGUGCCCAGAGCCUGUGGGAUUAUCUAUAGGUCCCCGUGCAGGAGUUUUGGUUUCUCUUGGUUGGAACUAAGGUUUGCCCUGGUGCUAGGCAUGGUAGUCAUUACCCAACUUUGGACAGACCUUCCUUCCUCCUGUGGCAUUUGGAAGAAGCAGUAGGUAGAAUGGUAGCUAGCUUGAGUAAGCAGAUGAAUUUUUCCUUCCCUUCUUCCCCCUACCCCUUUUCUUCUCUUUCUGUUUCAAGCUGCUUUUAUUUAGUUGGGCUCUGUCCUGGGCUUCAUGGAACAGUUUUUUUCCAUGACCAUCCAGGCAAAGAAAAGAAGUAUAACCUGAAUCCUUCAGUUUGACUCCCGCUCAUCCUUGCUGGGAAAGGUUUGGUGGAUGAAGAUGAAUCUACUAUUUGCUUCUGAGGUGACAAUGACAUUGUCUGUGCUCUACUGGUAUUUCAUACCAAGCUCCACACCAACCUUGCUGCUGCUGCUAAGUAACCUUACCCUUGUCUAAACCAAUGUUGUCUAUUUCAGGAACUCUUCCAAAGGUUUUUAAAAAAAUACUGUCAUUCCCUUAGUUCUCACAACAUCUUAUCAAAUAGGUACUCUUGUUCUCCCUGGAUGAAGAAACUAAGGUGGGAGAAGUGGAGUUACCUGUCCAGGGUCCCCUGAAAGUGGCCUCACAGUCCAUGAACUGUUAACAACUCUCCUAGAUGUGCCGGGAGUUGAGGACACAAGAAACCUUUUGCUUAUUGGAAGAGUUUUCUUUUGUCCCUAAAACUCAGUUCCUGUCCUUGAUGAGGGUCUCUGGGGAAGUGAAAGAACACUGACCUUAUACCUGACCUGGCACCUGGAAGGUUACUGAACAUCUACGCAUCAGGAGAAAAUGAAAUCAUGUUUGUGAAAGGUUUUUGAAAAUCACACACACACACUCUCUCUCUCUCUGUUUUCCUGUUGCCCCUGUCACCACAACAGCAUUCCUGGGCCUCACCAUCUACUUCUCUCCCUCUUCAUACAAUAUCCUGCUAUGAUGGCCAUGUUUCAUCCAUCUGAACUCCCUAAAGGUCACCCUGCUAAGUCCCACUUUUUUUGGUGGGAUAAAGAGAUUUUGAGAAUUUCCUCUUGAGGAUGUUCCAUUUGGGUAGAGAAUUAAUUAGCCCAGAGUAAGACCCUCUAUCUCCAUCAAUUCAAAGACACACAUCCCAUCACAAAAGAAAAGAUCUCAGUCUUCCAGGACAGGGAAGAAAACAUAGCGUUUUGCUGAUGGAAACCUUGCUUACUAACCAGGAAUCCCAGAGUCUCAUUCAAUCUUUAUGAUAGUGAUCAAGGGGAAGAGAAUGUCAAGUGGAAGAUAUUAAUGGCUUAUGUGGAGGAUUAGUCCAUAUUCUAUCUUAGCAACCCUUGUUUCAUGGACAUCAAAUAAAGGACUCCUCAGCAUGCUGGCAGGAUUAUUUCAACUAGUCACCCAGGGAAAGAGGGAAUAGGCAGAGCUCUUGGAUUGCAAGCAGCUGAUGGAUCUUAUUCCUCCACAGGAAAGUUCUUCACAUGGAACCUGGGUAUGAUUUGCCCCCUGCCCCCUCAUCAGAGCUUCACUUGCUCUUCCUAGCAAGAGGCUAAGUCAGGCAAUCAAUGGCUGCAGCCUGGGAUGAUGGCUCUUCUGCAUGGCAAUAAUGGCUCAGUGCAUGUGCUGUUAGGAGUGACGUCACGGCCAGGUCCUGAGGAAUCAAUAAGGUUGCCAGGAUGCCUGUGUGAUUAAGAAGUCAAUAAGCUGACCUGUGUGGGACUGGUCAUGUAGAUUGGCUUUCAAGGCCAUUUUGCAAAGCCCUUUUUCAUGUGCUAUCGGUUGUGGAUGGAUUUUGAUAACUAGCAUUGAUUUGCUCUAUUUAUGAAGUGCUAUUUGUACUGGUUAAACUGUGUAAUUGCACCUAGAAUGGACAGAUAAAUAAUGUCCUUAUCUGUGGUAUUGACUGCCCCGGAUUAGCUGAAUAUAUAUGUAGUAUACUUCCAAACAGUCAAUGGAGGUUGACUUUUGAUUUAUUUUUUAGCUGUCAAAUUUCAGUUAAGCAUUGGGUGGUAAACGACCCACUCUUAAAUCUGCUGCUAAUUUCUAUGCUUCCUUUUCCCAGAAGGAGAAGUUUAACAUGCAGUUUUCUUCAAUAAGAGAAAGGUUCAUCUUGGUUUAAGUGAUAUCUUUGGUGCUGCAAAAUGGGAUGGUUUUCUCUUGGGCCAUCAGCUUGCUUUCUUUCCUGUGCCCAGGAGUGUGUCACUCCCAAGGUGUCUGUUACCGGGCUCUCCAUCCAUGAAUCUGCUAUUGAAAUGGCUGUUGAAAAUGGCUGUUCAAUUGAAAUAGCUUAAAAUGCCUAGCUUUUAAGCUACACCUCGGAAAGAAGCACCAUACAUCUUUUGAAACAAGAUGAGGAUAGACAGACGAAAGGAGAAAGACAAAUACAUCAGCAAAGGCACUGCCAUCAAUUCUGGAGCCAGUCCUGAAGGGUCAUUCAUGCUUUUGAGUGAUCUUACCUUUUUUGGGGGGCGGAGGUGGGGAGGGCUAUGCUGCAUGGCUUGUGGAAUCUCAGUUUUCCCACCAGGGACUGAACCCACACCCCCUGCAGUGAAAGUGUGGAGUCUUAACCACUGGGCUGCCAGGGAUGUCUUUUGAACUCUUUACCUCAGUGUUGGGUUGUGUUUGCAUGUAUGAAUGCUCACGCAUAUACACAUGUGUUAUUUCCUUUUGUGAGCCUAGCAGCACUGCAGCAGCUACAGGAGCCUCAGAGUGGUGACAACUAAUUAUGAAACACUACGCCUGAUGUGUCCCUUUUAUCUCAUCUUGCAGAAGCCUUGCAUUCCCACGAAAUCCCCCAGCGGAUCUUUGUAAUCCUGGAAAGGAAGUGUCAAUAUGGAAACAGCUGUUGUUGAGAUAGUUAGAUGACAUUCUAAUGAGCUAUGGAGGAAACUCAAGGCUAAUGGGACUCGGCUGCAAAUAUUCUUUCUAGACAAUUAGACGCACGUGAGAAAGUCUAUAGUCCCUAGGAAUGCAGAGAGGGGUACACUGGGCUGUAGAUAUCACAUCCCCUCAUUCAUACAUUGAUUUUUAUCCUCCCAAGCCAUGUGGGAUGUCGAACACUCUCCCUGCCUCUCUACUGGGAGCUGCAGACUCUGGUCCCUUUGCUAAAAGGCCCUACCAGGGGAUCCCAGAUGGAGAGCAGAAGCCAAGCACAGCCUGUGCCCAGGGCUCCAUCCCUGUCCACUACUGGGUGAAUUCAGGACGAGGUGCCUGCUGCCAUUUUGGAAGGAGUCAGGAGAAAUGGCCACAGGUUGAUGUGAUUGAGGCAGGGAGCAAAUACUGUCCUUCAUUCAAAGGGGAAGGUUUGGUGAUGGGAGUGAGAGAGAGCUUUAGAGGCAAAGACAUGGGAUAUGACUUUUUACAGUUAGGGACUUAAAAACGAUGCCUUGGGACUUCCCUGGUGGUCCCAUGGUUAAGAAUCCACCUUCAAAUGCAGGGGAUGUGGGUUCGAUCCCUGUUUGAAGAACUAAUAUCCCACACGCCAUAGGGC